GACGUAGGGCGCGAGCGUUGUCCGGAUUUAUUGGGCGUAAAGAGCUCGUAGGCGGCUUGUCGCGUCGAAUGUGAAAACCCACGGCUCAACUGUGGGCUUGCAUUCGAUACGGGCAGGCUAGAGUUCGGUAGGGGAGACUGGAAUUCCUGGUGUAGCGGUGAAAUGCGCAGAUAUCAGGAGGAACACCGAUGGCGAAGGCAGGUCUCUGGGCCACUACUGACGCUGAGAAGCGAAAGCGUGGGGAGCGAACAGG
rnacentral:rRNA from 1 species